GCGCAGGUGAGGAGUGAAAGGAAUAAGCCUCCGGAGUCGAAACACGGAAAGACGCCCGGAGGUUUUUCCUA
rnacentral:sRNA from 1 species